UACGUAGGCAGCAAGCGUUGUUCGGAAUUACUGGGCGUAAAGAGUGUGUAGGCGGUGCUCUAAGUUCGGUGUGAAAUCUCCUGGCUCAACUGGGAGGGUGCGCCGGAAACUGGGGUGCUGGAGCGCGGGAGAGGAAAGCGGAAUUCCUGGUGUAGCGGUGAAAUGCGUAGAUAUCAGGAGGAACACCGGCGGUGUAGACGGCUUUCUGGACCGUAGCUGACGCUGAGGCGCGAAAGCUAGGGGAGCAAACGGG
rnacentral:rRNA from 1 species